GAUACGGGGAUCUGUGUGGGGGUUUGUGAGAUAGUGCACUUCAGGUGAGUGGGUUGGUUACUGACCCGUUGGAUCUUCGUAGGUCCGGUCGACUUGUGCGUACCCAGUGUUCCGACGCGACAGUGACAGGUGGGUGCUUCGAGCUGGUAGUCGGUGAGAGCGUUUCACCUCCUUCUCCUGUUUUUUUUCUAUUCCAGUAUUUUAGUCUCUACAUGUCUUUGUUUGCUUAUCUUUCGUAUAUCGUACCUCUUUGAUUGCAUUUGGUUAGUAGUUGAUAGACAUGUAGAGCAGGAUGCAUUUGUAUUUCAGUAUCUCUGUGGACCUUGGGUCCAGGCAACACAUCGACUCUCUUGUCGUGUGUUUCGAUCUGGUUGAUCGAGGUUCGGCGUUGUACGCCCUAGCAUCUAUUUCAGUUCGGCGUUGUACGCCCUAGCUUCUAUUUCAGUUUGGCAUUGUACGCCCUCGUUGUUGGCUUCGGCCUAGGCACCGGCUUUAGCCGGGUUUGUUUUUGUUUGAGCAUACCAGCAUGACUUAGUCACGGCACUUGGGGGUAUUCAUGACACCGGAUCGGUUUGGCCACCGAUCGGAGGUGUACUUAUCCGGAUAGGUCGUCCUGCGGGGCGGAUGGAUCAGGUCGGUGCAGUUAGUGACAGGCAGCGCUUGAGGUCUGCGGACCAAUACAGCAGGCACAGAUUGGGUACAGUUUCUGUUCAGUACUUUGAGGCAUUCUUUGCAUUGUUAUCUAUACAGUAGUAGGUUUGUUUAUUGCUUCUUAUUUAUCUGUUGUAGCUACUGUAGUUCGUUUUCAUAUAUCAGUAUCUAUAUUUGUUUAUCUAUCUCCUUUGGUUUCCGGUGAUUACGGCUUGCCUUCGUGGCUCUGUCGUACCCACUGAGAAAACCAUGGUUGUGGUUUCUCACCCCCCAUCUCCCCAAGUGACUCGGGCUUGGAGUUGGUGUUGGGCACGACGAGAGGACGAUCUAGCUAGUCUGGUAUAGCGAUCGCCACCCUAGUUGUAUUUCUUUUCCGCCUUUAGUAGUCAUUUAAAUAAUGGUUCAGUUAGCUGAUCUUUAUGAUUGUUUGAAUGUUGGUGAUCUGAUUUUGGUAGAUCUGUGGAUGCUUUCGUUAUUUAUGCAUAUGAACUGAGGUUUGUGGAUUUGGAUGUUGAUUCUAUGGAUAUCGGAUUUUCUUCUAUUUACAUAUCGUGGUUUUCUACCUUUCGAGGUAGUUGAUUUUCAAAAUGGAGUUUCCGUGUGGAAAACAGUUUUAAAAAGGUUUUCGAAUAGUUUUUCAUGAUGAAUGAAUUAGAGUUUAAAAAUAAAAGCUUCCGUGUGGGGAGCACUUUUAAAUGGGAUGAUUGUUAUACUGUGCAUUGCAUCAUCCAGCUCCUAAGGAGUGUUUAGAGGCAUGCAUCAUCUCUAAGGAUUGUUAGCUGUAUGAAAAUGCAUAUCAUGAAUUGGUUGUUGAUUGGUAAUUGUAGAUUGUAGUUGAGAUCCUGUUGUAUCGUUGGUACGCCGUGCAAAUACAAAGGAGACUCUGUCCGAGUGGACAGAGGAACUUUGUAUUUGUGGCGGGUCUGUACGUCACGUGGGCCAGGUUGGAAAAAAAAAAAUGGUACAUCUUCCGCGACUCUGAGUUUUAAAAAUGGUAAUGGCUUUUAAAUCGGCCCCGGGGCGUGACAAUGUGUAAGAAAAUCAUGUGUA
rnacentral:lncRNA from 1 species